rnacentral:rRNA from 1 species
CACGUAGGGUGCGAGCGUUGUCCGGAAUCAUUGGGCGUAAAGAGCUCGUAGGCGGUGUGUCGCGUCGGCCGUGAAAACCUGCAGCUUAACUGUGGGCUUGCGGUCGGUACGGGCAUCACUGGAGUUCGGCAGGGGAGACUGGAAUUCCUGGUGUAGCGGUGAAAUGCGCAGAUAUCAGGAGGAACACCGGUGGCGAAGGCGGGUCUCUGGGCAACAACUGACGCUGAGGAGCGAAAGCGUGGGGAGCGAACAGG